rnacentral:rRNA from 1 species
UAUUGCACAAUGGGGGAAACCCUGAUGCAGCGACGCCGCGUGAAGGAAGAAGUAUCUCGGUAUGUAAACUUCUAUCAGCAGGGAAGAAAAUGACGGUACCUGACUAAGAAGCCCCGGCUAACUACGUGCCAGCAGCCGCGGAAAUACGUAGGGGGCAAGCGUUAUCCGGAUUUACUGGGUGUAAAGGGAGCGUAGACGGAUGGACAAGUCUGAUGUGAAAGGCUGGGGCUCAACCCCGGGACUGCAUUGGAAGCUGCCCGUCUUGAGUGCCGGAGAGGUAAGCGGAAUUCCUAGUGUAGCGGUGAAAUGCGUAGAUAUUAGGAGGAACACCAGUGGCGAAGGCGGCUUACUGGACGGUAACUGACGUUGAGGCUCGAAAGCGUGGGGAGCAAACAGG